rnacentral:rRNA from 1 species
GAUGAACGCUGGCGGCGUGCCUAACACAUGCAAGUCGAGCGAUCUUCUUCGGAAGAGAGCGGCGGACGGGUGAGUAACGCGUGGGUAACCUACCUCAUACACAUGGAUAACAUACCGAAAGGUAUGCUAAUACAAGAUGAUAUAAGAAAUUCGCAUGUUUUCUAUCAAAGCUUUUGCGGUAUGAGAUGGACCCGCGUCUGAUUAGCUAGUUGGUAAGGUAAUGGCUUACCAAGGCUUCGAUCAGUAGCCGACCUGAGAGGGUGAUCGGCCACAUUGGAACUGAGACACGGUCCAAAACUCCUACGGGAGGCAGCAGUGGGAAUAUUGCACAAUGGGCAAAGCCUGAUGCAGCAACGCCGCGUGAGCGAUGAAGGCCU